rnacentral:lncRNA from 1 species
CGUGCAAUCUCAGCAUCAGGAGUCUUAAGGAUCCUUAAGCAAUUCCACUGUGCAGCCGAGAUUGAGCAUCACUGCCCCAGCUCUCCUGGCCCAGGCCAUCCUGAUGCAGCUCAGCUGGACUCUCCAGAUGAGAGUUCCAUUGCUGCCCACUUGUUGUCUGGCUUUCUGCAGUGCAAUUCGGAAGAAGGGAAGGACAGAGAGAGAGACAGCUCUAUAGAGGUGGAAGGCAGGAAGACGGUUCUUGCCUGUUGGGUCAGCCCCAGGACUGUCUUUGGGCAUGGAGAACCUGCAUCAUGGGCAAGCAGAGGAGAAACUAAACCUGAUGUGAGAGAGAGAAAAUCUACCUGCCUGAUCUGCAUGCAGAAAGAAAUGAGGAAGACUGACCACCAGCUUGAAGCCAGGGACCAAGCCUCAGUUCUUAAGGCCUCGGCUGCACGAGUUCCGUUCAUCCCCGAGGACCACCUAGGAUUUCCCACGUGUGUGCUUUCCCAGGAAUUAUUUUGGGCUCAACAGGGGAGCCAGGUCUUAUACUCCAAGCAAGCAAACUCCAAAAGAUUGGUAAUAGACAUUUGAUACAGCUAUCGUGAUAGUAAACAAGGCAAAGUAUAUAUUUGAAAAGAGAGUCAAGUCUUUUUUAAAACAAGGAGUCAUCUUAAGAUACAAAAAAUACAACUAAAAGGAGAUUCAGAGAUGAUAGAUAGAUACAUCCAUAGAUACACAGAUAGAUAGAUACACAGAUAAAUACACAGAUAGAUAGAUAGACACAUAGAUGGAUACACAGACAGAUAGACAGACACAUAGAUAGAUGAUUGGAAAAGAAAGAAGAUCAUAGUAUUCGUUCAGGAGAACAAAGAGGGCGUUUGACAUUGAGAGAAU